GACGAACGCUGGCGGCGUGCCUAACACAUGCAAGUCGAGCGCCCCGCAAGGGGAGCGGCAGACGGGAGAGUAACACGUGGGAACUUGCCCUUCAGUACGGAACAACCAAGGGAAACUUUGGCUAAUACCGUAUACGCCCGUAAGGGGAAAGAUUUAUCGCUGAAGGAUUGGCCCGCGUCUGAUUAGCUAGUUGGUGGGGUAAUGGCCCACCAAGGCGACGAUCAGUAGCUGGUCUGAGAGGAUGAUCAGCCUCACUGGGACUGAGACACGGCCCAGACUCCUACGGGAGGCAGCAGUGGGGAAUAUUGGACAAUGGGCGCAAGCCUGAUCCAGCCAUGCCGCGUGAGUGAUGAAGGCCUUAGGGUUGUAAAGCUCUUUCGUCAGGGAAGAUAAUGACGGUACCUGAAGAAGAAGCCCCGGCUAACUUCGUGCCAGCAGCCGCCGUAACAC
rnacentral:rRNA from 1 species